CCCCGCCCGCGCCGCCCUGCACCCCUGCCCGCUCCCGAGGCUGGGACUUAGGGACGCCUGGUUUCCCGGCGGACUCUGCGGCGGACGCGCAGUGUGACCUUGGAGGAGCGUCUGCGCUCUGGGGACUCCGUUUCCACCAGUAACAUGCAGGCGGGUGCCCUGGCCCUGCAGUCUGUGACCUAGUGAAAUCCAUGACCCCUCGGACUUGAGGCCGUCUUCGGCGACCCCGAGUUUCUUUGGUCCUACAGUGUCCUAUCAGGCAGCUCCUCGGUCUUCCUGAAUGUGCCCUAACCCAGGUAUGUCCUUGUGGCAGUGGCAGGAUUCCAAGAGACAAAGCUACAAUGAUCAAGUGCUUUGUCAAGCUUCUGUUUGUACUACGUCUCCCCCUAUUCUGUUUGCCAAAGCAAGACACAGGGUAAAGUCUGUGGCCAGUGUGGGAUGACACUACCAAAGGAUGUGAAUAUUAGGAAGCAAGAAAAAUUGGGGCCCUUAUUACAAUCGAUCUACCACAAGCUGCAUCUUUGACAGAUGGAAAUGUGAUCUCCAUAGCAACCAGCAAGGACAACUGAGGCCCAGAAGGUACCACAACAAUUUGUUGGAGGCUGCUGACCUGCCUACAUCACAUUUAAUCCCCCUGGGAUAUAGGUGCAUCACAGGAAUAAGAAGAGGGGAAUGCUUGAAUCACCACCCUAGAGGAAUGAGAUCUGGAAAGAAAAAUUAAACUGGGGUACAAAAAAAUAAAAGUACAAUUCUUGCACA